rnacentral:rRNA from 1 species
AUUGAACGCUGGCGGCAUGCUUUACACAUGCAAGUCGAACGGUAACAGGCCGCAAGGUGCUGACGAGUGGCGAACGGGUGAGUAAUGCAUCGGAACGUGCCCAGUCGUGGGGGAUAACUACUCGAAAGAGUAGCUAAUACCGCAUACGAUCUAUGGAUGAAAGCGGGGGACCGUAAGGCCUCGCGCGAUUGGAGCGGCCGAUGUCAGAUUAGGUAGUUGGUGGGGUAAAGGCUCACCAAGCCAACGAUCUGUAGCUGGUCUGAGAGGACGACCAGCCACACUGGGACUGAGACACGGCCAAGACUCCUACGGGAGGCAGCAGUGGGGAAUGUUGGACAAUGGGCGCAAGCCUGAUCCAGCAAUGCCGCGUGCAGGAAGAAGGCCUUCGGGUUGUAAACUGCUUUUGUACGGAACGAAACGGCUCUGGUUAAUACCCGGGGCUAAUGACGGUACCGUAAGAAUAAGCACCGGCUAACUACGUG